rfam:Ciona savignyi cont_31120, whole genome shotgun sequence.
GCCCGGUUAGCUCAGCCGGUAGAGCGUUGGACUUUUAAUCCAACGGUGUAAGGUUCUAGUCCCUCAUCGGGCU